CAAGACUACCUCCCACCCUUCCUUCUGGGUCCCCAACCUGGUGGAAAAGCAAGGCUUGGCUGACGUAGCCCCAACUGCUGGGUCCUCCUCGUGCGGUGAGAAGAGCGGAAAGCAGGCCCAUGAGAAGAAGGGACCCACCGGCGGCCCCGGGACUGAUGAGGAACAUCAUCAGCAGGCAGGAAGCCACCCCAAGCAGGCAGGCGGCUUUGUUUCUCACCGGAAGUUGGGGGCUGAAGCCCACUCUAGACUCAGGCAAGACAGGUCCACGGCGGCAUAGGCCACCAAGUAGAAGACAGUGACCACGCCAGCCAGCGUGUUCAGCUUCCCAGCCAGCAACACCAGCUGGGAAAGGGCCAAGAGGCAGGGUCUUCUUGUGCGGCUCAGGCUGGCUUCAGUUUCAAUCCAUUCCCCUACCUUCACUUCCAAAUUCAGAUUACAAGUUUAAAACAAUCACUGGCCAAUAUCCUCAUUUUCAUUUACACCUCUUAUCUAGACCUAAGAUAGGUUCUCAGUCUGCUAGCUAGACUAGCCAGGGCGGCUGAAAUGAAGACUUACCUGCACCAGGCCCCAGGAGUACAGGACAGCACCCCAGGGGUUACCCCCUCCAGAGACUACCUUGGCCGGCGCCAAGAUGACUCCUGUAAAAAAAAAAAACAGAAUCACUAGACAAAUGAGUCCCGGCCUAGAGGGGGCAGAGCCAGACCCAGGAGGGCAAGCCCAGAGCAGCGCGGCAGACCCAGAGGGCACCACACCGAAGAGGUCAUCCUGGGCCAGGGCAUGCAGGAUUCGGGAAGCACCGAUGAGAGAGCUCAUGGAGGCCGAGAGUGCCGUGGCGUAGAUGCCGAUCAACACGAGUGGGGGCCACAAGCUGAUGCCACGGAAGAACCCGUAGUCUUCCUGAAGCAGGGUCCUAGCCAGGAGGAAAAGGCAGAGGAAGGGUCCAUCAGUGAGCCAUCAUAAGGGCCUCGUGAGAAAAGGUACGCGGACACUGUUUCCAGAGCUAUGUCCUAGAGGGGGCCUUGUCAUGCCAGCACUCAGGAGGCAGAGUCAGGAGGGUCUGGAGUUCAAGACCAGCCUCAGCUAUAUAUAGGGAGUUUGAGGCCAGCCUGGGCUAUGUGAGACCCUGUCUCAAAAGCAAAAGGAGCCAGGUCCUAGAGCCUGACUGGAUGACUCACACCUGUAAUCUCAGAACUUGGGAGGCUGAGGCUGGAGGAUUGCCAUGAGUGUAAGGCCACAGGAUAAGACCCUGUGUCAAAACAGAAAAGAAAAGAAAGAACCAGUUUAGGCCAGGCAUGACGGUGCACAUCUACCGGGGGGACGAGAGAAUCUCUGGUUCAAGGCCAGCCUGAGGUACGGAGCAAGAUCCUGCCUUAAAAACAUAACAAAGGGGGCUGGAGAGAUGGCUCAGAGAUAAAGAGCACUGGCUGUUCUCCCAGAGGACCUGAGUUCAACUCCCAGCACCCACGUGGUGGCUCACAACCAUCUGUAAUGAG